GUCUCUGUGGCGCAAUUGGUCAGCGCGUUAGGCUGUUAUUUUAAAGGUUGGUGCUUCGAGCCGACCCAGGGACG
rnacentral:tRNA from 1 species